GAUGAAGAACGUAGCGAAAUGCGAUAAGUAGUGUGAAUUGCAGAAUUCAGUGAAUCAUCGAAUCUUUGAACGCACAUUGCUCCCCUCGGUAUUCCGUGGGGCAUGCCUGUUCGAGCGUCAUUUAACCCCUCAAGCCUAGCUUGGUAUUGGGUGCUUGUCCCGCCUCUCGCGCGGCGACUCACCUCAAAGUCAUUGGCAGCCCGCAUCUCGCCGGCCGUGAGCGCAGCACAGACGCGCUCUUGGCAACGACGGAUCGGCUCUCCAAAAGCUUAUUUCAACCACUGACCUCGGAUCAGGUAGGGAUACCCGCUGAACUUAAGCAUAUCAAUAAGCGGAGGA
rnacentral:misc_RNA from 1 species